GGGGCAGCGGGGUAGUGCUUGCACUACUGCCGGCGACCGGCGCACGGGUGAGUAACACGUAUGGAACCUGCCCGCAGCAGGGGGAUAAGCGGAAGAAAUUCCGUCUAAUACCGCGUAACAACGUUGGGAGGCAUCUCCCGAUGUUUAAAGAUUUAUCGGCUGCGGAUGGCCAUGCGGCGCAUUAGCUAGUCGGCGGGGUAACGGCCCACCGAGGCGACGAUGCGUAGGGGUUCUGAGAGGAAGGUCCCCCACACUGGUACUGAGACACGGACCAGACUCCUACGGGAGGCAGCAGUGAGGAAUAUUGGUCAAUGGCCGAGAGGCUGAACCAGCCAAGUCGCGUGAGGGAAAGACGGCCCUACGGGUUGUAAACCUCUUUUGUCGGGGAGCAAAGCGAACCACGUGUGGUUCAUUGAGAGUACCCGAAGAAAAAGCAUCGGCUAACUCCGUGCCAGCAGCCGCGGUAAUACGGAGGAUGCGAGCGUUAUCCGGAUUUAUUGGGUUUAAAGGGUGCGCAGGCGGAGGUGCAAGUCAGCGGUCAAAUUGCGGGGCUCAACCCCGUACUGCCGUUGAAACUGCAUCCCUUGAGUGCGCGAGAAGUAUGCGGAAUGCGUGGUGUAGCGGUGAAAUGCAUAGAUAUC
rnacentral:rRNA from 1 species